CCGAGGCUGAGUCACAUGGCUCAACAAGAGUGCAGCCUCUUCCAUGUUCAUCGGAAUCAGCUUUCUCUUGCCAGUACUACUCAUUGCAGCCAGAUGAGGGAAAGAUUUCAAGCAAAACUAACUCCGAUUUUGUCUCUAGCUCUCCCUUACAUUGUAAUUGGUCAUUGGUGCUACUUUUUGGGAGGAACUCGAAUGGAAAGAGGACAAAGGGGAAGUGCAAGAAAUGAAUAUGAAUAUUAAUAAUCGUACGUCUUGAGUUGACGAAUCUAAUCUGAGUAAACAAAAAUUAGAGUCUCGUCGUCGUCACAGAAUGUCAUAAUUAAUUAAUUAAAUCGAUGGAACUUAUUUAAUUAGUACAGUAGGAGUUGCUGCAACUGGC
rnacentral:lncRNA from 1 species